rnacentral:rRNA from 1 species
GACGAACGCUGGCGGCGUGCUUAACACAUGCAAGUCGAACGGAAAGGCCCUGCUUUUGUGGGGUGCUCGAGUGGCGAACGGGUGAGUAACACGUGAGUAACCUGCCCUUGACUUUUGGAUAAAUUCAGGAAACUGGGGCUAAUACCGGAUAGGAGCUCCUGCUGGAUGGUGGGGGUUGGAAAGGUUCGGCGGUUGGGGAUGGACUCGCGGCUUAUCAGCUUGUUGGUGGGGUAGUGGCUUACCAAGGCUUUGACGGGUAGCCGGCCUGAGAGGGUGACCGGCCACAUUGGGACUGAGAUACGGCCCAGACUCCUACGGGAGGCAGCAGUGGGGAAUAUUGCACAAUGGGCGGAAGCCUGAUGUAGCAACGCCGCGUGCGGGAUGACGGCCUUCGGGUUGUAAACCGCUUUCGCCUGUGACGAAGCGUGAGUGACGGUAAUGGGUAAAGAAGCACCGGCUAACUACGUG